rnacentral:lncRNA from 1 species
GAAACCAGUCCCCGAGGCUUGGCAAAGCAGGAGCCCUCUGUGGCAGUGCUUGGGUGUCGGGGCUCUGAGGAUCCGGCCUCACCUCUCCACGGGGUCGACGGGAACGUCUCCGGAUGCCAGGAGUCGCAAAGGGCCGACCACGAUGAGGAAACCCCAGGCUGGGACGGGGGAAGCAGCACGGGAUCCCAGCCUCAGGCCUGCCCGGACGGUGUUGGUUGGGAGACGAGGUCUCACUAUAUUGACCAGGCUGGUCUUGAACUCCUGGCCUUAAGCGAUCCUCCUGCCUUGGCCUCCCAAAGUGCUGGAGUUACAGAUGUGAGCCUCUGUGCUCAGUCCAUCCUUGGCUGUUCAAGUGUAGAGGGCUAACACCAUACUCAAUGAUGAAAACCUGAAAACUUUCCCUAAGAUCAAGAACAAGGCGGGGCGGUUCCAAGAUGGCCGAAUAGGAACAGCUCCAGUCUAAGCUCCCAGCAUAAGUGAUGGAGAAGAUGGGUGAUUUCUGCAUUUCCAACUGAGCCUGAAGAGCUUCCUUUAGGAUUUCUUGUGAGACAAGUCAGCUUUUAUUUGUCUGGAAAAGUCUUUAUCUCACUUUUAUUUGUGAAGAACUGCUUUGGCAGCCGUACCCUCAAGAACUGCACCUUCCAACCACCCUUAUAUGAGCCUGCUCCAAAACCUUGCCAGCCAGCACUUCCAGGUUACGACUAUUGACCUCCAGCUCCCAGUUUCAGGUGAGAGAGAGUUCUCCCAGUCUCCUGGAUCACACUGGUCGGAAAGCUGUUUGGUAGACAACCUUCGAGUCUUUCUGCCUUCAUACUGUGGGUAUACCGUUCUCCCAACUGAAAACCCGUUUAUUUUCUUAUCUGUCUACUCAAAGCCUAACCAACACCAAAUGGCCUAGAAAUGCCACGUACCUACCAGUUGCCUCUUUCCUCCUCCAGCCCUUGUGAAUGUGAAUUCACAUCUCUGUUCUCUGUGUUCCUUGGCCACUUAGUACCAUUCACAAUAUCUCUCAUAGCUAGCUCUCUGCCUUAGGGCUGGCCCAUGGGACUAAAAUUCCUUGUGGUAGGUAUUUUUUUUUCAUAUUUCUAUUCUUAUAGCAUCUAGCAUAGAACAAACAGCCUAGUAUCUAGUGGGUAUCCAAUAACAACUUAUGCAGGUGAUUAGGCAAGAAAAAGAAAUAAAGCCUAUUCAAAUUGGAAAGGUGGAAGUCAAAUUGUCCCUAUUUGCUGGCAACAUAAUCUUAUAUAUAGAAGAACUUAAACACUCUGCCAAAAAUCCAUUAGAUGUGAUAAACAAUUCAGUAAGGUUGUAUUGUAUGUAUCAAAACAUCCCUAUGUAACCCAUAGAGAUGUAUAAUUAUUUUAUGUUGAUCAAAAAUAAAAUAAUAAAAGCUCUUAAUAAAACAGUCAUCUCUUUCAGAAUUCAUGGUUACCAUUGCCUCUAGUAUUAUUUGUCAAUUAAAAAAUAAAAUUUAAAAAGAA